CGGUACAGAGUCAAUGUGGAGGCUAUAUACAGGGGGGGACCAGUACAGAGUCAAUGUGGAGGCUAUAUACAGGGGUACCGGUACAGAGUCAAUGUGGAGGCUGUAUACAGGGGGUACCGGUACAGAGUCAAUGUGGAGGCUAUAUACAGGGGGUACCGGUACAGAGUCAAUGUGGAGGCUAUAUACAGGGGGGUACCGGUACAGAGUCAAUGUGGAGGCUAUAUACAGGGGGGUACCGGUACAGAGUCAAUGUGGAGGCUAUAUACAGGGGGGUACCGGUACAGAGUCAAUGUGGAGACAAUAUACAGGGGGGUACCAGUACAGAGUCAAUGUGGAGACUAUAUACAGGGGGGUACCGGUACAGAGUCAAUGUGGAGGCUAUAUACAGGGGGGUACCGGUACAGAGUCAAUGUGGAGGCUAUAUACAGGGGGGUACCAGUACAGAGUCAAUGUGGAGGCUUUAUACCAGGGGGUACCGAUAAGUCAAUGUGGAGACUACAUACGGGGUGUUACGGUACAGAGUCAAUGUGGAGGCUAUAUACAGGGGGUACCGAUAAGUCAAUGUGGAGGCUAUAUACAGGGUGUUACGGUACAGAGUCAAUGUGGAGGCUAUAUACAGGGGGGUACCGGUACAGAGUCAAUGUGGAGGCUCUAUACAGGGGGGUACCGGUACAGAGUCAAUGUGGAGGCUAUAUACCAGGGGUACCGGUACAGAGUCAAUGUGGAGUAUAGAUACAGUGGGGUGCCAUUACAGAGUCAAUGUGGAGACUAUAUACAGGGUGUAACGUUACAGAGUCAAUGUGGAGGCUAUAUACAGGGGUGUACCAGUACAGAGUCAAUGUGGAGGCUGUAUACAGGGGGUACCGGUCCAGAGUCAAUGUGGAGGCUAUAUACAGGGGGGUACCGGUACAGAGUCAAUGUGGAGGCUAUAUACAGGGGGUACCGAUAAGUCAAUGUGGAGGCUAUAUACAGGGUGUUACGGUACAGAGUCAAUGUGGAGGCUAUAUACAGGGGGGUACCGGUACAGAGUAAAUGUGGAGGCUCUAUACAGGGGGGUACCGGUACAGAGUCAAUGUGGAGGCUAUAUACCAGGGGUACCGGUACAGAGUCA
rnacentral:lncRNA from 1 species